rnacentral:rRNA from 1 species
GACGAACGCUGGCGGCGUGCUUAACACAUGCAAGUCGAACGAUGAACCCGGAGCUUGCUCCGGCGGAUUAGUGGCGAACGGGUGAGUAACACGUGAGUAACCUGCCCUUGACUCUGGGAUAACUGCGGGAAACUGUAGCUAAUACCGGAUACGACCCUCGGCGGCAUCGCCAGGGGGUGGAAAGAAUUUCGGUCAAGGAUGGACUCGCGGCUUAUCAGCUAGUUGGUGAGGUAACGGCUCAUCAAGGCGACGACGGGUAGCCGGCCUGAGAGGGUGACCGGCCACACUGGGACUGAGACACGGCCCAGACUCCUACGGGAGGCAGCAGUGGGGAAUAUUGCACAAUGGGCGCAAGCCUGAUGCAGCAACGCCGCGUGAGGGAUGACGGCCUUCGGGUUGUAAACCUCUUUUAGUAGGGAAGAAGCGAAAGUGACGGUACCUGCAGAAAAAGCACCGGCUAACUACGUGCCAGCCGCCGCAGUAA